UGAGUGUUUCUUUAGGUUCACGGUACAGAGGAAGGGUCAAACUACCACCAGGGUCAUAAAACUACUCCUGGAAAUGCCCUUAACUUAUACGAAAGCCUUGUCAAAUAUGUGUUUCUCUAGGUUCACGGUACAGAGGAAGGGUCAAACUACCACCAGGGUCAUAAAACUACUCCUGGAAAUGCCCUUAACUUAUACGAAAGCCUUGUCAAAUAUGUGUUUCUUCAGGUUCACGGUACAGAGGAAGGGUCAAACUACCACCAGGGUCAUAAAACUACUCCUGGAAAUGCCCUUAACUUAUACGAAAGCCUUGUCAAAUAUGUGUUUCUUCAGGUUCACGGUACAGAGGAAGGGUCAAACUACCACCAGGGUCAUAAAACUACUCCUGGAAAUGCCCUUAACUUAUACGAAAGCCUUGUCAAAUAUGUGUUUCUCUAGGUUCACGGUACAGAGGAAGGGUCAAACUACCACUAGGGUCAUAAAACUACUCCUGGAAAUGCCCUUAACUUAUACGAAAGCCUUGUCAAAUAUGUGUUCUUGGGCGGCGAAAUGUCUCAAUACGACCCAUGGAGGUUUGGAACAGACUAAGUUAGGAUGUAGUAUCGGAGAGGAGUGUGCAAAGCUUAAAGGAAGAGUUGGAUAAAUGUAGAUAGGGAGACGGGACCACACGAGCCCCGUAAAACUACAACUAGGUAAAUACACACAUAUACACACUUCUCUCAAUGUAUACCCCCCUGCCAUUUUCUUUGACUAGGCCGAACAAGACAGAGAAACGACGUACCGUGACGAAUAGUUAAGGUUAGGAAUAAAAGCCAUCUAGUUAUUUUUGUUCAUAUCCUGGUAUUGUUAAAGCAUCAAUGGUGGUACAAACGAUAUAACAAAAAGACCAAAGGACUGACACACGCAGCGAAACAGCCUAAGCCCGGAUGCACUCACAAAAAUAUGUCCUAUGCAGCCUAUGAUGAGAUGCCCAUGACUCGGUGUGGUACAGUGGUGGUGCCGGUGGUAAGGAGAAUGGUAGAUAAUAUAAUGAAGAUAAUAAUGAUAAUAGAUAAAAAUGAGGGCUGAUAAGCGUAAAUAUGGUCAUAAAAAGUGAUGGAAUUGCAAAUGAUGGUAAUAAUUGCUUCCCGUUUUCUCUUAUACUGUGGAAUGAUGAUAAUAAGGGAGACUAAAGAAAUAAAUAAUAAAAAUAAUAAAAUAAUUCCUUGGUUUCUGACUCAAUUUAAUAAUAAUGUUCAGUUGACUUAGGAACACUAGGCCGCUCUCUCUCUCUCUCUCUCUCUCUCUCUCUCUCUCUCUCUCUCUCUCUCUCUCUCUCUCUCUCUAAACAUAAACAAAACACCAUAUCAUUUUAAAUUCAUUGUAACUCUUUUACUUGAGUCUACCUUUGUUUAUAAUCUCAGUACUGCCAGACAAAAAAAAAUUCUCACGGAUAUCGGAAGAAGAUGAAGGAGGAGGAGAAGAAAAUGGAAGAGAAGGGAAGGAAGGAAGGAAGAGAAAAAGUAGAUAGGAAGGAAGGAAGAGAAGCGAUACAAAGCAAUACAGGGCAGAAGAUGAUAAAGGAGGAGGAGGAGGAAAUGGAAGAGAAGGGAAGGAAGGAAGGAAGGAAGGAAGAGAAAAAGUAGAUAGGAAGGAAGGAAGAGAAGCGAUACAAAGCAAUACAGGGCAGAAGAUGAUGAUAAAGGAGGAGGAGGAGGAAAUGGAAGAGAUGAAAAGGAAGGAAGGAAAGAAAGAUAUUGGAAGAGAAAAAGUAGAUAGGAAGGAGGAAAGAGAAGUGAAAGGAAGCGAUGUGGUUUGUUGAUGCCUUUUGCUUUCCUUUACUCGGCAUCCAGUGAAGCUUGAGAUGUUUUAACUAUCGUCUGUAUAUAGAUUCUACCGCAGUCUGGAAUCGUUGUUAUUUUCCUGCCAUACAAAACUGAGUGACUAAAUUCUGGACCGUCUGUAUAGAGUUUCACCGACGUCCAAGGGUUAAAGAGCUUGAAAAUUUGGUAACGUGGGAAUUUAUAUGAACGGUGCAAGAUUUUGGGGGGAUUUUACACAAGGGCCGGAAUUUGUGCGAAUCGUGAGAAUUUUCUGGGAUUUUACACAAGGGCCGGAAUUUGUGCGAAUCGUGAGAAUUUUCUGGGAUUUUACACAAGGGCCAGAAUUUGUGCGAAUCGUGAGAAUUUUCUGGGAUUUUACACAACAAGGGCCGGAAUUUGUGCGAAUCGUGAGAAUUUUCAGGGAUUUUACACAACCAGGGCCGGAAUUUGUAAUCAUUGUGCGAGAUAUUUUGGCAUUUUACACAACCAGCACCAGAAUUUAUAUGAAUCGAGAUUUUUGGGAAUUUUACACAACCAGUCCUGGAAUUUAUAACAAUCGUGUGAGAAUUUUUUGGCAUUUUACAAACCAGCGUCAGAAUUUAUAAUCAUUGUGCGAGAUAUUUUUGGCAUUUUACACAACCAGCGCCAGAAUUUACAGGGAAUAGUAUGAGAAUUUGGCAUUUUUACACAAUUAGCGCCAGAAUUUAUACGAAUUGUGAAAAUUUUGACAUUUCACACAACCAGCGCCAGAAUUUUGAGGGAAUUGUAUGAGAAUUUGGCAUUUUUACACAACCAGCGCCAGAAUUUAGAGGGAAUUGUAUGAGAAUUUGGCAUUUUUACACAAUUAGCGCUAGAAUUUAUACGAAUUGUGAGAAUUUUGACAUUUCACACAACCAGCGCCAGAAUUUAGAGGGAAUGGCAUGAGAAUUUGGUAUUUUUACACAACCAGCGCCAGAAUUUACAGGGAAUGGUAUAAGACUUUGGCAUUUUUACACAAUUAGCGCCAGAAUUUAUACGAAUUGUGAGAAUUUUGACAUUUCACACAACCAGCGCCAGAAUUUACAGGGAAUGGUAUAAGAAUUUAGCAUUUUUACACAACCAGCGCCAGAAUUUACAGGGAAUGGCAUGAGAAUUUGGUAUUUUUACACAACCAGCGCCAGAAUUUACAGGGAAUGGCAUGAGAAUUUGGUAUUUUUACACAACCAGCGCCAGAAUUAACAGGGAAUGGCAUGAGAAUUUGGCAUUUUUACACAAUUAGCGCCAGAAUUUAUACGAAUUGUGAGAAUUUUGACAUUUCACACAACCAGCAGAAUUUAGAGUGAAUGGCAUAAGAAUUUAAUAUCAUAGUAUUUCUUUAAACCACAUAGCAACACCUCUUGCCUCCUGGGCAGUUAAGAUGUCAACUCAACCUUCCUCCUUGCCCAUUCUCAAUAACCUCUCCAUUGCAAAGAGCAUUUUCAAUUUAUACCCAUUUUCUGUGACCUCUUCAUCCCCAUUUUCUAUGACCUCAAUUACAAGGAUGACUCAUGUAUAUUUUUUUGUUGUUGUUGUCAUUAUCAUUGUGGCAAUUGUACAAGACCUAAUGUUGUAGUAGUAGUAGUAGUAGUAGUAGUAGUAGUAGUAGUAGUAGUAGUAGUAUAAUGAUUUCCUGGUACACUCAUAUAAAAAUAAUAAUAAUAAUAAUAAUAAUAAUAAUAAUAAUAAUAAUAAUAAUGGUAAUGAUGAUAAAAAUGAUGAUAAUGUUAGUAAGGAAUGUUGAAAAUGAAUCCGUCUCUCUGAUAAAACUUCCGAAAGACUAAAAAAAUGAGGAAAAAUUAUAAAUAUUCUCGGGAAAUUAUAAAAAAAAUCAGAAAAUUACCAAUAUCAUUUUUUUCUCUGAUGAAUAAAACAUUUUUCACACACACACGCACAAACGCACACACACACACACACACACACUUCCGUCCUUCCUUCAAACAAUAAUAAAAAAAAUAAAAAAUAAUAAUAACAAAAAACAGUCACGGAUGUCCACACACGGGUACAUGAACGCCCCAACCAACACACGCACACACACAUACAUAGACGUACAUGCGCGCGCACACACGUAUACGCACACACGGUCGUCUGGGCAUUACCAAAAUUGUACACGCCAAAAAAGAGAUGUGAAUGUUUGAUACCUUAAGAUUAUAUGUCUCAGACUCGCCAUGUUUGUCUGUCUGUCUGUCUGUCUGUCUGUCUGUUUCACGCCCCGCCGCCACCACCACUGCCCUCUCUCUCUCUCUCUCUCUCUCUCUCUGGUCGGUAUUUCUCUUUUUUUUCUUUUCUUUUUCGUUCUUUUUUUCCUACUUUCUCUGUUUCCUGUUUUCUUUUCCUUUCUUUCUUUCUUUUUCCUGUUUUCUCUUUCUUUCUUUCUUCCAUUUCUCUCUAAUUCCUUCCUUUCCUCCAUCCAUUCCUCCUCCUUCUCCCUCUAUUCCUUACUUUCUCUCCCUUUUCCUUCUUCCUUCCUUUCCUCCGCUUACUCUUUCUAACGUCCUUCCUUCCUUCCUUCCUAGUCUUUCUCUUCCAUAAUCUUAUCUUUCUCUUCCUUCCUUCCUUCCUUUCCUUCUCUUCUUUCUUCAUCUUCCUCCCUUCCUUCCUUCCUAUCCUUUCUCUUCCAUAAUCUUAUCUUUCUUUCCCUUCCUUUCCUUUCCUUCAAUUUUCAGCUUCUUCUUUUAUCCUGUAUCACUUUGUAUAGCUUCAUAGGUCCUCCUCUCUCUCUCUCUCUCUCUCUCUCUCUCUCUCUCUCUCUCUCUCUCUCUCUCUUUUGCAUAUUCACACCUUCCUCUUCAAUACCAUUACACUGCUAUCUUUCCCAACUAUAACACACCAUUCCACUAUAAUCUUCAUCAUUCAUUCGUUUAUAUUCUGGUUCGUGUUGCUUAUUGUCCAUCCCUCUCCUUGGGUUCGUUCAAGUAUUUCCGACCCUUUUUUUAACGCAGCGCUGUGACGAAAUGUGAAAGAAAGGAAGUAGAUAUUUAGGAGCUUAUUCGAACACCUCUGCAUAGCACGCCUUUCCAGACCUGUUUACGAUAGGUUACGAACACCUUGGUUAGUUUACGAUUAUAUCCGUUUUCUCUGUCUCCGUAACACUGAGGCUAAGUGAGCUGUGAAUCUUGAGUCAAAUGAACAGCUUAUUUGAACACAUCACCUCAGUACACCUAUCCAGACCUGUUUACGAUAGGUUACGAACACCUUGGUUAGUUUACGAUUAUAUCCGUUUUCUCUGUCUCCGUAACACUGAGGCUAAGUGAGCUGUGAAUCUUGGGUCAAAUGAAGAACUUAUUUGAACACAUCACCUCAGUACACCUAUCCAGACCUGUUUACGAUAGGUUACGAACGCCUUGGUUAGUUUACGAUUAUAUCCGUUUUCUCUGUUUCCGUAACAUUGAGGCUAAGUGACCUGUGAAUCUUGAGUCAAAUGAACAGCUUAUUUGAACACAUCACCUCAGUACACCUAUCCAGACCUGCUUUACGAUAGGUUAGGAACGCCUUGGUUAGGUUUACAAUCCCUUACGCUUAUUUUUGUCUCCGUACAGCCCUGGCGAUAGAGUUAAAUGAGCGCUGAAUCUUGACUCAAAUGAAAAACUAGGUUAGCGAUGAACACGACUCAAAUUAGAACCCAUAUUUGCACAGCGUCGCAUCAACUGAGAAGCUAGGUUGCCGAUGAACACGUCAAUCAAAUAAGAACCUAUAUUAAUACUGAACGUCGUACCAAUUGAUAACUAUAUUGCCGGUGAACGCAUGAACCAAGUUAGAACCUAAAUUAAUACUGAAGAGUGAACCAAAUGAGCAACAUGAAUCAAAUAAGAGUCUAUAUUAGCACUGAACAUCGCAUCAUAUGAACAGCUAAGUUACCGGUGAACACAAGAAUCAAAUGAGAGCUGAAUAUCACAUCAAAUGAAAGACUAAAUUACCAGUGAACACAUGUAUCAAAUAAGAGCCUAAAUUAGCACUGAACAUCGUAUCAUAUGAACAACUAAAUUACCGAUGAACACAAGAAUCAAAUGAGUGCUUAUAUUAAUACUGAAUAUCACGUCAAAUGAAAAACUAAAUUACCAGUGAACACAUGUAUCAAAUAAGAGCCUAAAUUAGCACUGAAUAUCGUGUCAAAUGAACAUCUAAAUUACCAGAGACCACAUUAAUCAGAGUAGAUAAAUAUUAAAAAUUGCACCGAAACAAAUGAGAAACUACAUUAAAACUGAAUAUCACAUCAAAUGAAAAACUAAAUUACCAGUGAACACAUGAAUCAAAUUAGAACCUAUAUUAGCACUGAGGGUCGUAUCAAAUCAAAAACUAUCCUACUAAUCUUGCUCUUGCUGUACAGGUGACCCGUCGGAGAGGCAGGCCUUAAUAUCAGCCAACACAAGCAUCAAAUUAGAACCUAUAUUAGUGCUCAACCUUGAGAAAUAUAGAAAACUUAGUGACCCAAACACAAGAAUCAAAUGAGAA